UCCCAUUGCCAGCAUUGAGUCUCAUUCCCCUUCUUUGCAAUAAACGGCACGCACAACCCCAGCUCCCUCUCCCGGUUUCCAUGGCUUCUCCCCUUCCCACCGACGGCCAGCUUCCAAGUUCCAAUCCCCCGUGAUGCGAGCCUCACCGGAGAUACCGAAGCCUCCGUUCUUGCCUGCCGUACCUGUUCCCCGCCCCUAUCCAGUCCCCACGUCCUCACCUCUCGCUGACCAGGCCACCACGCACUCAAGUUUUGGACCUUGGUCAGAUAUUCUGCCGGAACUCGUUGGUCUUGUCCUCAAGCGCCUCCUUUCCCUAGCUGACCGUGUUCGUCUGAGAGCAGUAUGUAAAAAACAAACUGGCUAUUCCUCGUGAUCACUAAUGGAGCAUGUUCAUUGCUGACAUUUUUCAAAGUUCACAUUGGGGCUUCCUAAUCUAGUAGGUAAUUGUUUGGCAGCACGAGAUAGAUAGUAUCUUUGGCCAUACUUACUGCCCAACUUCUUAAAAGUCAAUGGCACCCUCGACCCUCGACUCAUUACCCAAGUGCUUAAAUGCCGCACUGAUCACCGAUGGUAGUUACGAGAAAUAUGACACGGAAGAUUUUCGUAUAGAUAAUAAAGUAUUGAGGGUAUGCCAUUUUCAUAUAAAAUUAAAGUAAAUAUAACACUGUAGACAAAAUAGUGCACAUUACUCCCUGGCACAUAUGAACCUCAAAAUAAACAAAAACCUAGAUGUCUCAUAGAUAGAUCUCAGGAUAGAUAUACAGGCGGCACAAUGGAUAGAUGUCUCAAAGAAUUAACCAUGUAGCACACUUGCCAUGGUAAACUAAAUGUAAAAAACAUAAUUUAGCUGGACACAAAGCCUAUUACAGAUAUGAUAUCAUUAGCGAUAUUCUUGGCAUCUGCUGCAAUGCCAGCCAAUCCUCUCCUUGCUAACCCAGCACAGUAGAGUCCAUUUUCACCUUUCCAAUGAUUUGGAUAUUCUUUUAUGGGCAGUCCAUCGCCAUUUAACAUGCUCUCACCAUUCUGGGCUCAAAAAUAACAUAGAGCUUGUUAGCAGAUUUAACAAUUGUUUCACCAAGAAAACAAACUCAGAAAUAUUUAAAUAUCGUUGUUGUUACCUCGAGCCAUAUGUUUGCCGUGCUUUUGUAUCCAGUUGCGAACACAAUCGCAUCAAAUGAGAUUUCUUUACUGCACUGAAAUUCAACUAUGUUGCCCAUGAUCUUACUGAUACCCCCUUGAACCUAUAUGAGAUAAAUAAAUUAUUGAUAACUUGGCAUAUAAAAUAAACAUCUGACAUUAAAUUUAUGUCAUGUGUAGGAUAUACUUACUUUGAUGAUACCCUUUUUGAUUAACCCAACAGUGCCAACAUCAAUCA